GUUAAUACAGAAGCGACGGGGCAGUUGAGCAGAAGAGAAGUAGCUCUGAAUCUCAGUAUAUAAACCUACAGGAGGACAUGAGCUGCAGCUUGUAUUGUGUCUGACCUGAUACUGUCACUGUGUGUAGCUGCAAUAAUAUUCAGGGAAUGUGCAACACAUAUUUUCUUCCUCAUUUCUCAAAUAUGGAACAAACGUUCCUCUGGGCAAUGGAUACACCUGUACUUGCAGGCUUCAGGUCAAAGCUCCUGCAUAUUAUGGGAUACUAAAGUAGCCAAGGAACGAUGGGAUCUACAGCAAGGAGCUGGUCAUCUGUAUAAACGAACAGCAAAAUGGAAGGUGAGAUGCCAGUGAGGUCACCAACAUGAGAAUCCAUUCAGCAGCUUGUGGAGUUGUAAUAUAAUGUUUCACAUGGAGCUGAUAGGAAACCUGGUAUUCUACUUUAUAAAAAAGCAACCCUGUACUUUUAAUUGGACAAUUCUGGGAAACUGAGUAGAGCCGUUAAAAUAAAAAGUUACAUUUCUCUAA